CUCUAGGACUUAAACAUACGGUAUUCCCAGUUUUGUGCUUUAAAUCGGGGGCGACACAAGAAGGAGUAGAUGGGUGACGCGUGCCUCCGACAAGGGCCGCUGCCCGCCACUUAAAGGGUCGCUGCUCUCUCGGACCUAAGACUUCACGUCCGUCUAGGUGUGGCAGCCCAGGACGAGGAGGCUGCCGGCGAAGAGGAGGGCGUUUCAGGUCGCGGCGGUGACCACGACACCAGCUGUUUUCGAUGGAAUGAAGAUCUCAACGUCGCUUCUUUAUCUCUUCGGUCCUUGGGGAAGAUUUGCCUAAGUCGAACACGUCAUAAGGUUCUUAAGACUUCUUUGGGGUUCCUUUCUCUGGGUCUCCUCCCGCCCGUCCUACUAGUCACAACCCUUCUGCUUCGUCAUACGUUUGCAAGAACUGUUCGGGGAGUCGGCUCCGUCUGUCCUCCAGUCAAACUCACGUAAGCGUAAGAACAAGAGCCUCCACCAAGUUAUGUUGGUCUGUGUUCAACUGUUGUAACGACUGGACCUUGCUUCCGACCUCCUGCGACCAAUACGACAACCACGAUCUCAAGAACUUGACGACACAGUGUCCCUCUUCCCCUUAUCUGCUCUCUGAGCUGACGACCCCUAAAAUAGUAAGUAAGUGUCGUGACAUACCUUUCAUGACAAGCCUUUCCACCGACUGAGCGAACUCUUUCCUUGUCUUGUACUCCUACUUAUGUACUAAUCACUUUUCCUCGAAGAACAAUUGGCCAAGUAAAGGCACGGCUUUCUGUACCCCCGUAAGUUGACACCUCGAAAACAACGUCCCUAACAUUCCCCGCAUAACCUGUUACGACCAAAAGGUCGCCAUCAAUGCCGUGUAAAACACGGUUAACUUCCGGUCGUCUCCGGGUCCUGUUGUUAGAACUAAUUUAAACGACUUCUCCAAAAUGCAGCCCUUAGUUCUGAACCGACUUUACGUGUGGUCCGAUAAAGAAGACAAGACUAACAUUCUACUUAGGUAAAGUUUAUACAAAACAAGAACUAAAUACAUUAUGAUUAUAUGACCAUUAAAAGGUAGCUUUUCCAUAUGACCAUUAAAACUCUUAUAUUCGUCAUCGGAGUAAAAUACUCACAGAUUGUGCCCUUAUGAUCGUUUUACAUACACGUCUUCUCUUUGUAGUUUUCCUAAUCUUCUCGGGUGCCCCUUCAACUUUUCACCUGAUCAACGAAAGGACGUACAAUACCGGACAAACCAAUAGAUGUAGCAAAAACCAGAUAAAUAGGCACCGACUCAAAUCGACCGACUCCCUUAUGUACGUUUUUUAGUACAACACGUGUCCACGUUUUGGACCACAAAGCAACACGUGCCGGAUUACAAGACCGUGGGAAAGAGUAAUUAUUCCACUGGAAUCUCGUAGAAGUUAUCUACCAGGUUUAAAACUG
rnacentral:rRNA from 1 species